AUUGAACGCUGGCGGCAUGCCUUACACAUGCAAGUCGAACGGCAGCACGGGUGCUUGCACCUGGUGGCGAGUGGCGAACGGGUGAGUAAUACAUCGGAACAUGUCCUGUAGUGGGGGAUAGCCCGGCGAAAGCCGGAUUAAUACCGCAUACGAUCUACGGAUGAAAGCGGGGGACCUUCGGGCCUCGCGCUAUAGGGUUGGCCGAUGGCUGAUUAGCUAGUUGGUGGGGUAAAGGCCUACCAAGGCGACGAUCAGUAGCUGGUCUGAGAGGACGACCAGCCACACUGGGACUGAGACACGGCCCAGACUCCUACGGGAGGCUGCAGUGGGGAAUUUUGGACAAAGGGCGAAAGCCUGAUCCAGCAAUGCCGCGUGUGUGAAGAAGGCCUUCGGGUUGUAAAGCACUUUUGUCCGGAAAGAAAUCCUUGGCCCUAAUACGGUCGGGGGAUGACGGUACCGGAAGAAUAAGCACCGGCUAACUACGUG
rnacentral:rRNA from 1 species